rnacentral:rRNA from 1 species
UCAGAAUCAACGCUGGCGGCGUGCCUAACACAUGCAAGUCGUACGCGAAAGGGGCUUCGGCCCUGAGUAGAGUGGCAAACGGGUGAGUAACACGUGGGUGACCUGCCUUCGAGUGGGGGAUAACGUCCCGAAAGGGACGCUAAUACCGCAUGACAUCCUGCUUUUGGACGAGCGGAGAUCAAAGCCGGGGAUCGCAAGACCUGGCGCUUGAAGAGGGGCCCGCGCCUGAUUAGCUAGUUGGUAGGGUAAUGGCCUACCAAGGCUACGAUCAGUAUCCGGCCUGAGAGGGCGGACGGACACACUGGGACUGAGACACGGCCCAGACUCCUACGGGAGGCAGCAGUGGGGAAUUGUUCGCAAUGGGCGAAAGCCUGACGACGCAACGCCGCGUGGAGGACGAAGAUCUUCGGGUCGUAAACUCCUGUCGAGCGGGAAGAACAUUCACCGGGUCAAUACCCUGGUGAGCUGACGGUACCGCUAAAGGAAGCCCCGGCUAACUCCGUGCCAGCAGCCGCGGUAAUACGGGGGGGGCAAGCGUUGUUCGGAAUUACUGGGCGUAAAGGGCUCGUAGGCGGCCAACUAAGUCGGACGUGAAAUCCCCAGGCUCAACCUGGGAACUGCGUCCGAUACUGGAUGGCUUGAAUCCGGGAGAGGGAUGCAGAAUUCCAGGUGUAGCGGUGAAAUGCGUAGAUAUCUGGAGGAAUACCGGUGGCGA